UACAGAGGGUGCAAGCGUUAAUCGGAAUUACUGGGCGUAAAGCGAGCGUAGUCGGUUAUUUAAGUCGGAUGUGAAAUCCCCGGGCUCAACCUGGGAAUUGCAUUCGAUACUGGAUAGCUAGAGUUCGGCAGAGGGAAGCGGAAUUUCUGGUGUAGCGGUGAAAUGCGUAGAUAUCAGAAGGAACAUCAGUGGCGAAAGCGGCUUCCUGGACCAGAACUGACGAUCAGGCCCGAAAGCGUGGGGAGCAAACAGG
rnacentral:rRNA from 1 species